UGACCCACUCUGAGCUUCUACUACAAACGAUCUACUUCAAAUUUCUACCAUGAGCGGUCCGCACUGGAUUCCCACUGUAAGCCUUCACCCGAGCUUCCGUUGUGGAUGAAUUCCUUUCGAAUUUCUAUUGCAGACAGGCUUCGACUGAGAUUCCUCGACAAAUGAUCCCCAUCCGGGCUUCUACGGAGAUCGGACUCCGACCGAACUUCUGUAGCGGACAGAUUUCGGGCACACAGAAUCCAGCAGCUGGACCCCUCCAGUGGAUGAACCUCUCCAGCACCAUCCGACAUCCACCAUCGGUCAACCCUCUACUGAAUUCUGCACGAAAUCGAACUUCGUCUAUGGAAAGCCUCUGACCGAGCUCCUACGGCAAGUGGCCCUUGCCUGCAGCCUUAACGCCCAAGGCACCCAAUGGUAGAAGGUUCGCUAGCAACAUCCGAGCUCCUCUC
rnacentral:lncRNA from 1 species